ACGAGAAGCUUGCUUCUCUGAUGUUAGCGGCGGACGGGUGAGUAACACGUGGAUAACCUACCUAUAAGACUGGGAUAACUUCGGGAAACCGGAGCUAAUACCGGAUAAUAUUUUGAACCGCAUGGUUCAAAAGUGAAAGACGGUCUUGCUGUCACUUAUAGAUGGAUCCGCGCUGCAUUAGCUAGUUGGUAAGGUAACGGCUUACCAAGGCAACGAUGCAUAGCCGACCUGAGAGGGUGAUCGGCCACACUGGAACUGAGACACGGUCCAGACUCCUACGGGAGGCAGCAGUAGGGAAUCUUCCGCAAUGGGCGAAAGCCUGACGGAGCAACGCCGCGUGAGUGAUGAAGGUCUUCGGAUCGUAAAACUCUGUUAUUAGGGAAGAACAUAUGUGUAAGUAACUGUGCACAUCUUGACGGUACCUAAUCAGAAAGCCACGGCUAACUACGUGCCAGCAGCCGCGGUAAUACGUAGGUGGCAAGCGUUAUCCGGAAUUAUUGGGCGUAAAGCGCGCGUAGGCGGUUUUUUAAGUCUGAUGUGAAAGCCCACGGCUCAACCGUGGAGGGUCAUUGGAAACUGGAAAACUUGAGUGCAGAAGAGGAAAGUGGAAUUCCAUGUGUAGCGGUGAAAUGCGCAGAGAUAUGGAGGAACACCAGUGGCGAAGGCGACUUUCUGGUCUGUAACUGACGCUGAUGUGCGAAAGCGUGGGGAUCAAACAGGAUUAGAUACCCUGGUAGUCCACGCCGUAAACGAUGAGUGCUAAGUGUUAGGGGGUUUCCGCCCCUUAGUGCUGCAGCUAACGCAUUAAGCACUCCGCCUGGGGAGUACGACCGCAAGGUUG
rnacentral:rRNA from 1 species